UAAUUAGGACUCAUCAGGGCUUCAGGUUUCUCUCCUAUGAAUAUAAGGGAGUUUUUUAAAAGACAUUUCUCUGUCUGACAUGAACUUGCUAAAUCCUAACAAUAUCCUUAAACUAGUAGUCAAUCAGUUCUCUAGGUAGCAAGGUCAGCAGAAAGCAUGUCUCUCUCUCUCUCUCUCUCUCUCUCUCUCUCUCUCUCUCUCUCUCACACACACACACACACACACACACCUUCUGCCACACUGACUCCACCUCCUUAGAUGGUCCCUGAGCCAAGCCGCCCUUCUGAAUCCCUGCUUCCUUCCUCGUUCUUCACUUGUGAUAUGACACAGGCUCUCAUUCCCACGGAAGCCUGUUGCAGCCAUCUCAGAAAAGCAUCUCACAGCCUCCGGUAUCACUUCUCUGUGACUGAGAAACAAAUCCAGCAGAUUAAACAAGACAACACCCUCUCAGCUCUGGGGGCCAGAACUUGGACAUGGCAGCAUCAGAAGGGUCUUAUUGAACUUGAAGCUCACUGAUGGGAUAGAGUGACCCUCCGCAUUCUCCUGCCCCAUGCUGGGAUUUCACGUACACCUGGCCUGGAUUUUUAUGAAGCCUACCAAGAGCUAAGAUCGCAAGUGUGUGCCACCAUCCCUGAUGUCUGUGACCUCACAGCAAAGUCUACCUGAUCCCAAGUCCAUGAUUUUGAAGAACUUGAGGCCCAGGAAAUCGAAGAGAGCUUUUGAGAUUACAAUUACUAUGUACUGAUACUGAGUUUUCAGAAGACGCUGGCAACCAAGAGCUAGCUAGAUACUGUUGGUUAUUGUUGCCUUGGAAACUCUCAGCUAUCCUGGCACAUCUUUUGUGAGUCCUACAUGGCUGUCCAAUAAAUGUCAUCCCAUUGCAUUUUCUCUCCUCUUCCCUCCACACACGGAGCACCCUCUUCUCCCUUUAUGUACAUGCUGCUGGGAACUGUGGGAAACCAUAUACGGUUGUGACUCCAGGUACUGGGGAGGAAGCCGCCUGUGGGUACAAUCAAGCUGCUUUGUAGGCAUGCAUGUAUGAUAGCACCAAAGAAUAGAUGUAAACAGUGUAUAAUAUGAAUUAAAAUAUUUUACUUAAUGAAAUCAUUUAAAAAACAGUCACCC